GACGAACGCUGGCGGCGUGCUUAACACAUGCAAGUCGAACGGAAAGGCGCUGCUGUUGUGGGGUGCUCGAGUGGCGAACGGGUGAGUAACAAGUGAGUAACCUGCCCUUGACUUUGGGAUGACUUCAGGAAACUGGGGCUAAUACCGGAUAGGAGCUCCUGCUGCAUGGUGGGGGUGGGAAAGGUUCGGCGGGUGGGGAUGGACUCGCGGCUUAUCAGCUUGUUGGUGGGGUAGUGGCUUACCAAGGCUUUGACGGGUAGCCGACAUGAGAGGGUGACCGGCCACAUUGGGACUGCGAUACGGCGCAGUCUCCUACGGGAGGCAGCAGUCGGGAAUAUUGCACAAUGGGGGGAAGCCUGAUGCAGCAACGCUGCGUGCGGGAUGACGGCUUUCGGGUUGUAAACCGCUUACGCCUGUGACGAAGCGUGAGUGACGGUAAUGGGUAAAGAAGCACCGGCUAACUCCGUG
rnacentral:rRNA from 1 species